GUUGGUCGCGUUCAGAGGUCUCGGCAGGGAGCGCUUCCCGUCCGUCGGCUGCCUCGCGCCCUUCGCUUCUCUGACAAAGACCGUGGUUUAUUAUAGGAUUUUGAGGCGGAAUCUGCCUUCAUUUCGUUCUUCGGCAUUCGUAGAGGACGCAUGCGAUGGUUCCUUGUUCCCCAAGACCCUGUCAGUCGCUGGCGACUUCAAGAAACAAAGUUCGACGUUGACUGUUGUGUUUGUGGCCGCGUUUUCUGUCGACGGCGAGCGUACGCUGUGACCAGCAUCCGGGGUGGGAGGGCGCUGCGGGGGGGACUUUCGAAACUUGUUGCUCAGCAUAACAAACUGUUUCCAGGACGCUAUUAUUGUGGGUCAGGCCAAGCAUUGCACGAAAAUAGUAACAAUAUCGAUGUGUAGUGCAUGAAAAUGAUUAGUUCCCUGUCAGUGCGCUUUUUGCAGGAACUGAGGCGAGGCGCAGCACAUGGAACUGAAUGCAAGUGAAAGCAGCAUCACAUAAUGGGACCAAUCACUGAUAAGACUAACUUCCAUAUUCAUGAAGCUUGUUGAGAUCUUGCAACACAAAAGCUGCGAUCAACCGAUUUCCAUAUUUUUUCAACUGCAGCAAGGUCCCGACCAUCGAAGUGUGUAGGAGGAACAAUUCCGUCGACCGACCUUCCCUUCCACCCUGCCAUACAGUCGUCCUCACCGACACACCCUCUCCUUUCCUCUAAUUUCCCUCCCCCUCCCUGUCCUCCCUCCCCCUCCCCUCUUUCCCCCACUCCCCGCCAAUCCCCCUCCCCCUCUCUCUCUCCCCCUCCCCGCCUAUUCUCCUCU